UUUUGCGCUAGGUAUCGAAGGGCGCUAUGUUCAAAAAUCUGAAACUAGAGCUCAAAAUUUGAAAAAAAUGUCAAAAAAUUAGGGGGGUCGCCUAUUCUAGGACUUCUAGAGAAAAAUAAUGAGGGGUGUCACGGGAUAUGACUAUAUAGGUCUUGUAGAGGAGAAACAGGCACUCUUUUUACGCUAGGUAUCGAAGGGCGCUAUGUUCAAAAAUCUGAAACUAGAGCUCAAAAUUUGAAAAAAAUGUCAAAAAAUUAGGGGGGUCGGCCUAUUCUAGGACUUCUAGAGAAAAAUAAUGAGGAGUGUCACGGGGUAUGACUAUAUAGGUCUUGUAGAGGAGAAACAGGCACUUCUUUUGCGCUAGGUAUCAAAGGGCGCUAUGUUCAAAAUCUCAAACUAGAGCUCAAAAUUUGAAAAAAUGUCAAAAAAAUGGGUAGGGUCGGCCUAUUCCAGGAGUUCUAGAGAAAAAUAAUGAGGUGUCACGGGGUAUGACUAUAAUAGGUCUUGUAGAGAAGAACAGGCGCUUCUUUUGCGCUAGGUAUCAAGGGCGCUAUGUUCAAAAAUCUCAAAACUAGAGCUCAAAAUUUGAAAAAAAAUGUCAAAAAAUGGGGUAGGGUCGGCCUAUUCCAGGAGUUCUAGAGAAAAAUACUGGGGCUGUCACGGGAUAUGGCUAUAUAGGUCUUGUAGAAGAUAAACAGGCGCUCUUUUUACGCUAGGUAUCGAAGGGCGCUAUGUUCAAAAAUCUGAAACUAGAGCUCAAAAUUUGAAAAAAAUGUCAAAAAAUUUGGGGGGUCGGCCUAUUCUAGGACUUCUAGAGAAAAAUAAUGAGGGGUGUCACGGGGUAUGACUAUAUAGGUCUUGUAGAAAAGAAACAGGCGCUCCUUUUGCACUAGGUAUCGAAGAGCGCUAUGUUCAAAAAUCUGAAACUAGAGCUCAAAAUUUGAAAAAAAUGUCAAAGAAUUAGGGGAGUCGGCCUAUUCUAGGACUUCUAGAGAAAAAUAAUGAGGGGUGUCACGGGGAAUGACUAUAUAGGUCUUGUAGAGGAUGAACAGGUGCUUCUUUU
rnacentral:lncRNA from 1 species